UAAUAAUACACUUAUUUAAUUUAAUUAUUUUAUGUGUAAAAAGACUAUUUUAUUAGUCUCGGAUUUAAAUUUAUGAUGCGAGAAGUAUUAGUUAAAAUAUUAUAGUUUCGAGAAUGCUAGUAAACACGUGAGUUAUAUCGUGUGAGCCAGUUGUUUAAAUAUCAAUAUGUGCGUUAACCUGAGAACUGCGUUUAUACGAAAUAUAUGGUAGAUGCGAAUAACUGCUACGUUUUAGCCGGGAUGAUUAUUUUUGUUUUCAUUAUUUUAUUCGGGGUUUGAUUAUAAAAUAUUAAAAUAAUGAGUGAUUUAUUUAUUUAAUUAUUUUAUAUAAUAAUUAAUUAUAUUUUUCGCGUUUAUUACGAGAAAAAUAGGAAUCGAGCGGAGCAUAGCAUGACGGAACUUGAAGCCAAACUACAAGACUUGGGGCGCAAUUUUUAAGACUUGGUGCCCAAGUGUAAUUCGUGGUGGCCAAGUAAAAAUUUGAUUAAGCAAUAAACUAAAGAGGUCAUUAAGAGUUAAUUAAUAAUAAUAAUUUAAUGGUAAUUAGGAUUAUUGGAGCAGUAUAUAAACCAAGAUCUUGGGUUGUGAAAAGUUUUGUUUUAGCGAAGGAAUAAACUACGGAAGGGAAAGAAGCUCACCUAGAUUGAUUAUCUGGAAGACGAGCUUGAUUAUUCAACUUAAAUUGGAACGUGGUGCACUGGAAGAAUUUUGGAGAAGGACAUUCAAGCAAGGGUAAAAGUGUGAUGAAUCGAAGUGCUAGACUUGGUUGGAUUUGCGGGUAGAACUUGAGUAGAAAUAUUAUGUAAUCGAAAGAAAUAUUUGUGAACUUUUAGAAGAGUGAUGUAAGACUCUGAUGUAAGGUAACAUAUGCCUUUAAGUUAUAUCAAAUUUAAGAUUAUGAAGACAUUUCGGUGUGUUUAGUA